UGGGGAAUUUUGGACAAUGGGCGGAAGCCUGAUCCAGCAAUGCCGCGUGUGUGAAGAAGGCCUUCGGGUUGUAAAGCACUUUUGUCCGGAAAGAAAUCCUUGGCUCUAAUACAGUCGGGGGAUGACGGUACCGGAAGAAUAAGCACCGGCUAACUACGUGCCAGCAGCCGCGGUAAUACGUAGGGUGCAAGCGUUAAUCGGAAUUACUGGGCGUAAAGCGUGCGCAGGCGGUUUGCUAAGACCGAUGUGAAAUCCCCGGGCUCAACCUGGGAACUGCAUUGGUGACUGGCAGGCUAGAGUAUGGCAGAGGGGGGUAGAAUUCCACGUGUAGCAGUGAAAUGCGUAGAGAUGUGGAGGAAUACCGAUGGCGAAGGCAGCCCCCUGGGCCAAUACUGACGCUCAUGCACGAAAGCGUGGGGAGCAAACAGGAUUAGAUACCCUGGUAGUCCACGCCCUAAACGAUGUCAACUAGUUGUUGGGGAUUCAUUCCUUAGUAACGUAGCUAACGCGUGAAGUUGACCGCCUGGGGAGUACGGUCGCAAGAUUAAAACUCAAAUGAAUUGACGGGGUCAUA
rnacentral:rRNA from 1 species